GGAGAGGUGUCUGAGCGGCUUAAGGAGCGCGCUUGGAAAGCGCGUGUGUGGGCAACUGCACCGAGGGUUCGAAUCCCUCCCUCUCCGCCA
rnacentral:tRNA from 1 species